rnacentral:tRNA from 1 species
GCCGGGGUAGGAUAGCCAGGUAAUCCGUCAGCCUCGAGAUGUACUAAUAGGGCUAGAUAGCUGAUGUCCUUGUGACUCGUGGGUUCAAAUCCCACCCCCGGCG